UACGUAGGGUGCGAGCGUUGUCCGGAUUUAUUGGGCGUAAAGCGAGCGCAGGUGGUUUAAUAAGUCUGAUGUAAAAGGCAGUGGCUCAACCAUUGUGUGCAUUGGAAACUGUUAGACUUGAGUGCAGUAGAGGAGAGUGGAAUUCCAUGUGUAGCGGUGAAAUGCGUAGAUAUAUGGAGGAACACCGGUGGCGAAAGCGGCUCUCUGGACUGUAACUGACACUGAGGCUCGAAAGCGUGGGGAGCAAACAGG
rnacentral:rRNA from 1 species